CUGCCAAUUCCGUGGUGUUGUUGGGUGUAUUGUCGGUGGUGCCCGGUGCCCCGGGUCUCAUACUGCGUUCAUGGGCUCGGGCUCUUUUGAUAUCCGCCUCUGCUUCCGCCAUCAACUCUUUCACUAGUUCCGCGGCAGGAUUCGGCCCGUACAGGAGGAGCCGUUCCAUGACAAUCCUUGUUUUUUCAUCACUGGUUAGUAUCGUGGGUUUGGCCAUGGUGAUACUCUGAUCCAUCUCGGUUAAGUCAGCAAUCAACUCUCUCCUCGGUCGGUUGCUUGCGUUCCCACCUCGGCUCUCGAGUAAAUCUUUCAACACACUUGCUACAGGCACCUUCUGUCCUUGUUUUGGGGGGCAAUUGGAUUGAAGUUUUCUCACCCUUUUCCCCCCUGCUCCUAGUUUAAAUACAUCCUACCAAAACCUCUGAACUGCUCACGGAGAACAUUUGUUCCCUUUUGAGAAAGAUGCAAACCAUCUUUUUUGUACAGUUUAUUUCCAUUCCAAACAGAGAUACCAUGAGAAAUGAAGCCAAAUCCAUGCUCCCGACACCAUUCACCAAGCCACAAGUUUAAGUCCCUAAUACUCAUCCGCCUGUUGUUCUGAGUGUUAUGCCGAGGCAUAACUUCAGAGAAUGACAGUGUGGAAGCAACCUGCUGUAUAUCAUUGGCAAAAACACUAAAAACUUCCUUUACCUCUGAAACCUCAUUGCAGGCUAAGUCAUUUGUCCUUAGAGGGACAAGUACAUCCAACUCCCCCUUCCAGCUUUGUUUGCUUAACAAUAUUACAAAUACGUCUCCUGUCUCUUUGAGCAGUAGCUCCGGGAAGACAUCUCAAGACCACCAUUGUCCAUCUCCACACCUCUUAUGAUAGAAUCCCCCAACAACUGCUUUCUAUUAUGCCUCACCAUAGUCUCCAAGCCUGUCUCCACAACACCACUACCCUCAGAACCUGAGCCUGUCUCCACAACACCACUACCCUCAGUACCUGAGCCUGUCUCCACAACACCACUACCCUCAGAACCGGAGCCCGUCUCCAUUACACUCUGAAAGUGCAGAAAAUGAAUUAUGUAAAGCAACAGACUGUGCAAUAUGCCUUUUAUCCACAACUUCAAGUCUACCAGAUCCUACAUCUAUCUGCCAUUCCUAGGCUGUUUCUUUGGCAGUGGCUUUGCAACAGUCAGUCUGAGUUCGUUUAACAAAUAAUUUACAAAUCUCAGACUUCAAAAAUACAAUCUCCUGCCGCAAUAUACAGAACAGUCUACAGAUUAGAUGGCAUCCAAAUCUCCAAAAAGUGGAACGUGAAACAAAUGCAUUACACAACAACUAUUACACUGAACUAAGUUUGCCAUUUUAAUGAGGUGAAUAAUUUAAAUCAAACAAAUCUUCAUUUUUUUUGUCUUGCUAAAUACCUCAGAUUACCUCCGGGGUUUCGGGACUCUGAAGACUGCGUCAGGGGUGAUGGUCUUGGCUCGCUUAGGCACCAGCAGUGUUCAACAAACUCCGGAUAAGGUGUGGAAGUUCUGUAGUGGGAAUGUCCUUGGAUACCCCUCUAACCUUCAAGUUGUUGCGUCGCCGCUAAUCCUCUAGAGUUGCGAAAUGCUGUUCAUACUUCGCUUGCUGCAUUGUGAGCGUUCAGUUUGGAAUUCUGUGAUGGAUCGAGAGUGUUUGUUGGCUGAGGCCUCCACUGCACCUAUGUGGCCUGUCAGGCCUGUGAAGUCGGUGCGUAGUUGGGCCAUGUCCGCCUGAAGCACACUCUGCAAUUCUCCAGCAUGGCCUUUAGUGUGGCUAUGUGCGAACCGGUUGCAGUAGGCAUGGGGGAGGCAAUCCGUUGUCCGUCAGACUGAAGUCUUCAGAGGAGUCAGUCCCCAAGGUUAGCGGCCAUCUUUGGCCCACAGGCACUGUGCGCUUGGCGGAAAAGAUCGCAGAUGGAAACGCUCUGCUUGGAUCUGUCAGGCUUCUGUUUUUCUUACCAUGUUUGGUAGAUGGCUGUGGGGUGUUUUUCCCAGUAACAGGGGUAAUGGAAACUGUCUGUUUAAUAUCGAUCAUGCCUCCGCUCAGGUCGGUCUCCAAGCCCCACCCCCGAUGCUAUGUAUUUUGUUACACUUGUUUCUGCUAUGGUGGCAUUGUACGCUCAUUACUACUUAUAUGCACAUCAAAAAUAAAGAAUUAAAAAAAAUGCUAUGCACUCACUGACAGAUUAUGCAAAAUCGCAAACAGAGCCCCAGAACUGUUAGAAGGUAACUCCUGUCCUGUCCUUGGUGAUCGCCAGAAUUACCCGUCAUAGCCUUAUGGUUCUAUCCAGACCAAGCCAUACCCUUUGAAGGACUAAGAGACACUCCAUUGAAGGACAUACAAGGAAAAUUAAUGAUUCUUUAUUACAAGAACAAUGGAUUUUUAAUAACGCCUAGGGAGGAGUAUCAUUAAUUAUCAAAUAUUGAAAACGAUUACGUAAUGCA
rnacentral:lncRNA from 1 species